CUUCCGUAAAAUACUGAGGUAGCCAUUUUUCCAAUCGCUUCUUAUGAGAAACCAAUUGCCUCGACGGAUAUAUUAUCAAAUAUAUUUGUUAAAACACCUUGAGGAUGGAUCCUAAACAAUGUUUGCCGUGUUUCUGUCGAUAUUAUGUAGCUAAUUUUGAAAAAAGUUUGGCAUUGCAGUAGUAGCAUUUUUCGGUCGAUUUCUCAGCCAAGCAUGAUGAAGAAACGGGAGCUUUUUCGCCUACAAAAAUAAUAUUUUUGGAAAAAAGGAACAUUUGCUAUCUAACUGGGAGUCUCCUGAGUGAAAGCAUCUGAAGUUCUUCAAAGGCCGGUGGUAGCUGGUCCCAUGCAGGACGGUGAGGUUCCGGAGGUCCCUCCGCCCCCUCUGGACAUCGAGGGGUCGGCGUGCACGAUACGGUCCAUUCUGGACUCCAGACGCCGGGUCCUAUGGAAAAACACAAAAAUCAACGUAAAGAAGACAAAUGUUGUUGCUCGUAGAGAGCCUUUCAAAACUGGUGGCAGAUCCCUG
ensembl:lncRNA